rnacentral:lncRNA from 1 species
CAUUUCCCUUAGUUUCAAAAAGUGGAUAUCCAAUGAGCUGUCAAGCCACGAAAAGAACGGAGGAAACGGAAAUGCAUAUUAUGAAGUGAAAGAAGCCAAUUGGAAAGGCCACAUACAGUAUGUUUCCAACCACCCGACAUUCUGGUAAAUGCUAAACUAUGGGGACAGUAAGAUGAGUGAUUGCCACGGGCUGGGGGAGGAAUGGAUGGGUGAAUCACAGAGGAGUCUUAGAACAGUGGAACUACUCUGUCUGACGCUAUAAUGGUGGACAUGUGUCACCAUACAUUUGUCCAAGCCCACAGAACAUACACCACCAAGAGUGAGCCCUAAUGUAAACUGUGGACUUGAGUUAUAAUAAUGUAUCAAUAUUGGUCCAUCAAUUGUAACAACAUCCCGCACUAAAGCACCAUGUUAAUAACCGGGGAAACCCCGGGCAGGAGAGAGAACGGGCGUAUGGGAACUCUGUACUUUCUGCUCAAUUUUUCCAUAAAUCUAAGACUGCUCUAAAAAAUAAGGUCUAUUAAAAAAUGGAUAUUCGUAUGGGAACUCUGUACUUUCUGCUCAAUUUUUCCAUAAAUCUAAGACUGCUCUAAAAAAUAAGGUCUAUUAAAAAAUGGAUAUUCACUAGGCAUUAGACUUACCUUCUCCAGAGAAAACACUCUGUCUCAGAAAUGUUAAAAAUCCCAUUUUAAAGCAAAACACUGAAACCUCUCUCACGCCAUUUCAUUUAUGGCAGGGAACAUAGAUCCCGCUUCUCCCUCUGGAUUUCCUUCAUAACGAAUCCAACACCAUGAUCUGCACAAUCCCUGAGUUUGUGUCUCCCAGGACAUUCUUUCCGUCCAAGAAAAAUCAGCCAAAGCAGCAACAAAUGUGUGCCGUGGUCUGAGUGACUUCCCUUUUCCAGCGUGCCCCCGCUGAUGCCCUGGUGUAACGUCGCUGGAGCUGGGGUGCGCGUCGGGCUGUGGGCGGCGGGAGGAGGCUUAUGGACCUAUGGUUCCAGCCCCCAGGACCUCUGUCUGCACCGGGCGAGCCAUGGCACAAAGCUUGGCACCCCACUCUCGUCUGGACGAAGGCGAUGCUCUCUGACGGUGCUGGGUCACCUCGCGUGUCCAGUGCAGUGAUACGGUGGCGCUUCUCCCCUGGGAGU